rnacentral:rRNA from 1 species
AACGAACGCUGGCGGCAUGCCUAACACAUGCAAGUCGAACGAGACCUUCGGGUCUAGUGGCGCACGGGUGUGUAACGGGUGGGAAGCUGGCCUUAGGUUCGGAAUAACUCCCCGAAAGGGGUGAUAAUACCGGAUAAUGUCUUCGGACCAAAGAUUUAUCGUCUUUGGAUGGGCACGCGUUGGAUUAGCUAGUUGGUAGGGUAAAAGCCUAUCAAGGAGACGCUCGAUAGCUGGUCUGAGAGGAUGAUCAGCCACACUGGGACUGAGACACGGCCCAGACUCCUACGGGAGGCAGCAGAGGGGAAUAUUGGACAACGGGCGAAAGGCUGAUCCAGCAAUGCCGCGUGAGUGAUGAAGGCCUGAGGGUUGUAAAGCACUUUUACCCGGGAUGAUAAUGACAGUACCGGAAGAAUAAGCGCCGGCUAACUCCGUG